AGCGAACGCUGGCGGCAGGCUUAACACAUGCAAGUCGAACGCCCCGCAAGGGGAGUGGCAGACGGGUGAGUAACACGUGGGAACGUACCCUUUGGUUCGGAAUAACUUGGGGAAACUCAAGCUAAUACCGGAUAAGCCCUUAUGGGGAAAGGUUUACUGCCGAAGGAUCGGCCCGCGUCUGAUUAGCUAGUUGGUGAGGUAAUGGCUCACCAAGGCGACGAUCAGUAGCUGGUCUGAGAGGAUGAUCAGCCACACUGGGACCGAGACACGGCCCAGACUCAGACGAGGGGCAGCAGUGGGGAAUAUUGGUCAAUGGGGGCAACCAUGAUCCAGCCAUGCCGCGUGAGUGAUGAAGGCCUUAGGGUUGUAACGCUCUUUUACCCGGGACGAUAAUGACUGUACCGGGAGAAUAAGCCCCGGCUAACUUCGUGCCAGCCGCCGCGGUAA
rnacentral:rRNA from 1 species